UACGUAGGGGGCAAGCGUUGUCCGGAAUCAUUGGGCGUAAAGAGCGUGUAGGCGGCCUGGUAAGUCCGCUGUGAAAGUCCAGGGCUCAACCCUGGAAUGCCGGUGGAAACUGUCAGGCUCGAGUCCGGAAGAGGCGAGUGGAAUUCCUGGUGUAGCGGUGAAAUGCGCAGAUAUCAGGAGGAACACCUGUGGCGAAGGCGGCCCCCUGGGCCGGCCCUGACACUGAGACGCGAAGGCGUGGGGAGCGAACGGG
rnacentral:rRNA from 1 species